UUUCCUGCUAAAUAGAGUGCAUUGUGUAAUUACAGUGAUAUAGCUUCUUCUUAGAGGGACUAUCUGUGACUAACAGAUGGAAGAAAGGCAAUAACAGGUCUGUGAUGCCCUUAGAUGUUCUGGGCCGCACGCGCGCUACACUGAUAAAGCCAGCGAGUGUCUCCUUGACCGGAAGGUCUGGGUAAUCUUGAGAAACUUUAUCGUGAUGGGGAUUGACCAUUGCAAUUAUUGGUCAUGAACGAGGAAUUCCUAGUAAGUGCGAGUCAUCAGCUCGCGCUGAUUACGUCCCUGUCCUUUGUACACACCGCCCGUCGAU
rnacentral:rRNA from 1 species